rnacentral:rRNA from 1 species
AUUGAACGCUGGCGGCAGGCCUAACACAUGCAAGUCGAGCGGCAGCACUUCGGGUGGCGAGCGGCGAACGGGUGAGUAAUACAUGGGAAUCUGCCCAGUAGUGGGGGAUAACUCUGGGAAACUAGAGGUAAUACCGCAUACGUCCUACGGGAGAAAGCAGGGGAUCGCAAGACCUUGCGCUAUUGGAGGAGCCCAUGUCCGAUUAGCUGGUUGGUGAGGUAAAGGCUCACCAAGGCGACGAUCGGUAACUGGUCUGAGAGGAUGGUCAGUCACACUGGAACUGAGACACGGUCCAGACUCCUACGGGAGGCAGCAGUGGGGAAUAUUGGACAAUGGGGGCAACCCUGAUCCAGCCAUGCCGCGUGUGUGAAGAAGGCCUUCGGGUUGUAAAGCACUUUAAGCAGGGAGGAAGGCUCGCAACCUAAUACGUUGCGGGAGUGACGUUACCUGCAGAAUAAGCACCGGCAAACUCCGUGCCAGCAGCCGCCGUAAAAC